GGUUAAGCGACUAAGCGUACACGGUGGAUGCCCUGGCAGUCAGAGGCGAUGAAGGACGUGCUAAUCUGCGAUAAGCGUCGGUAAGGUGAUAUGAACCGUUAUAACCGGCGAUUUCCGAAUGGGGAAACCCAGUGUGUUUCGACACACUAUCAUUAACUGAAUCCAUAGGUUAAUGAGGCGAACCGGGGGAACUGAAACAUCUAAGUACCCCGAGGAAAAGAAAUCAACCGAGAUUCCCCCAGUAGCGGCGAGCGAACGGGGAGCAGCCCAGAGCCUGAAUCAGUGUGUGUGUUAGUGGAAGCGUCUGGAAAGGCGCGCGAUACAGGGUGACAGCCCCGUACACAAAAAUGCACAUAUUGUGAGCUCGAUGAGUAGGGCGGGACACGUGGUAUCCUGUCUGAAUAUGGGGGGACCAUCCUCCAAGGCUAAAUACUCCUGACUGACCGAUAGUGAACCAGUACCGUGAGGGAAAGGCGAAAAGAACCCCGGCGAGGGGAGUGAAAAAGAACCUGAAACCGUGUACGUACAAGCAGUGGGAGCACGCUUAGGCGUGUGACUGCGUACCUUUUGUAUAAUGGGUCAGCGACUUAUAUUCUGUAGCAAGGUUAACCGAAUAGGGGAGCCGAAGGGAAACCGAGUCUUAACUGGGCGUUAAGUUGCAGGGUAUAGACCCGAAACCCGGUGAUCUAGCCAUGGGCAGGUUGAAGGUUGGGUAACACUAACUGGAGGACCGAACCGACUAAUGUUGAAAAAUUAGCGGAUGACUUGUGGCUGGGGGUGAAAGGCCAAUCAAACCGGGAGAUAGCUGGUUCUCCCCGAAAGCUAUUUAGGUAGCGCCUCGUGAAUUCAUCUCCGGGGGUAGAGCACUGUUUCGGCAAGGGGGUCAUCCCGACUUACCAACCCGAUGCAAACUACGAAUACCGGAGAAUGUUAUCACGGGAGACACACGGCGGGUGCUAACGUCCGUCGUGAAGAGGGAAACAACCCAGACCGCCAGCUAAGGUCCCAAAGUCAUGG
rnacentral:rRNA from 1 species